rnacentral:lncRNA from 1 species
AGGAAGGGCGCGCGGGCGGGGUCGCGAGGCGGCUGCAGCUCCGGCUGAUCCGAGAGUCCAGCUUCGCGCGCAGAGAAAACUGGCUCGCGGCUGCAGGCUCGGGGCGGUCCGGAAAUCCGAAGGUUGAAAGCGGGGGCGCAGGCGUCAGCGUCUAGUAGACCGAACGCGGCGCUGUCGUGAUAGCGCUUUACUGCAGUGGGCACAGCGGCGCUUUGCGGCGGUCGGAUGGCCGCCCGAAGGGGACGGCGUUUCACCGCGGGCGGUAACGGUCUCAAUUUGACCUGGCUACCUGCGGAGGUCGGGAAGAGUUAUUCUGAGGGCGCGAGGAAGAGACAGCGGUACGGGAAGGAAGGCAUCCGAGCUGGCUGUGGAGGAUGUGCUUUUUCGGCUAAACUCCCAGCUAGAGAGCCUGAGGGCUGAUGGUGGAGAAUGCAGCACUUCACAGUGAGUCUGUGGCUGGGCUACCGAGCAGCAAUUGAGAAGGACCUGGCUGCUGGGACCUCUGAGUCCCCAGUCUAGUGGUGUUUAGUGUAAGGCUGAGAUUCCCAUGAGGGGCUCUCAGCCCAUCUAGUGAUUUUGAAAAAGAAAACAGAACAAAACUGAAAGGCACUUUGAGAACCAAAGAAUCAACACAAGCCUAGGCAGUCACUUUGUAGCCUUUGUGUGUGCAUGUGUGUUUCUGGUACUGGAAAUAGAA